UACAGAGGGUGCGAGCGUUAAUCGGAAUUACUGGGCGUAAAGCGUGCGUAGACGGUUAUUUAAGUCGGGUGUGAAAGCCCCGGGCUCAACCUGGGAAUUGCAUUCGAGACUGAAUAGCUAGGGUACGGUAGAGGGAAGCGGAAUUUCCGGUGUAGCGGUGAAAUGCGUAGAUAUCGGAAGGAACACCGGUGGCGAAGGCGGCUCUCUCGGACCACAACUGGACGCUGAGGCGCGAAAGCUAGGGGAGCAAACAGA
rnacentral:rRNA from 1 species